rnacentral:rRNA from 1 species
UGCCAGCAGCCGCGGUAAUACGUAGGAUCCAAGCGUUGUCCGGAUUUACUGGGUAUAAAGGGUGCGUAGGCGGUCUUGUGCGUCAGAGGUGAAAUAUCCGGGCUUAACCCGGAGGGUGCCUUUGAUACGGCAGGACUUGAGUACGAGAGAGGAUGAUGGAAUUCCUGGUGUAGCGGUGAAAUGCGUAGAUAUCAGGAGGAACACCGGUGGCGAAGGCGGUCAUCUGGCUCGUAACUGACGCUGAGGCACGAAAGCGUGGGGAUCAAACAGGAUUAGAUACCCUGGUAGUCCACGCCCUAAACGAUGUAUGCUUGGUGUUGGGUCCGCAAGGACUCAGUGCCGUAGGAAAUCUGAUAAGCAUACCACCUGGGGAGUACGAUCGCAAGGUUGAAACUCAAAGGAAUUGACGGGGGCCCGCACA